rnacentral:rRNA from 1 species
GGUUAACGUCGGGCCAGGGGGCGGUGGAAUACGAAGGGGGCGAGCGGUGGUCGGAUGUACGUGGCGGAAAGCGCACGUAGGCGGAGCGUUAAGUCGGGGGUGAAAUCCGGGAGCUCAACUCCAGAACUGCCUUCGAUACUGGCGAUCUUGAGUCCGGUAGAGGUGAGUGGAACUCCUAGUGUAGAGGUGGAAUUCGUAGAUAUUAGGAAGAACACCAGUGGCGAAGGCGGCUCACUGGUCCGGUACUGACGCUGAGGUGCGAAAGCGUGGGGAGCAAACAGGAUUAGAUACCGAGUAGUC